rnacentral:rRNA from 1 species
CCUACGGGUGGCAGCAGUGAGGAAUAUUGGUCAAUGGACGAGAGUCUGAACCAGCCAAGUAGCGUGCAGGAUGACUGCCCUAUGGGUUGUAAACUUCUUUUAUAUGGGAAUAAAAUGUUUCACGUGUGGGAUUUUGUAUGUACCAUAUGCAUAAGGAUCGGCUAACUCCGUGCCAGCAGCCGCGGUACUACGGAGGAUCCGAGCGUUAUCCGGAUUUAUUGGGUUUAAAGGGAGCGUAGGUGGAUUGUUAAGUCAGUUGUGAAAGUUUGGGGCUCAACCGUAAAAUUGCAGUUGAAACUGGCAGUCUGGAGGACAGUAGAGGUGGGCGGAAUGCGUGGUGUAGCGGUGAAAUGCUUAGAUAUCACGAAGAACUCCGAUUGCGAAGGCAGCUCACUGGACUGCAACUGACACUGAGGCUCGAAAGUGUGGGUAUCAAACAGGAUUAGAUACCCCUGUAGUC